AAACAGCGCUGCGGAUUUGUCAGCAAUGCCUAUGGCCAUUAGCCCAAUUUUAUCAUCGACCCCGCGUAUUCAAACAAGGCCGCAUUCAUCUUUGCCUCCCGUCGCUACUAAACGGAGACGUCUGUUACUUGGGUCCACAGACGCACUAAGGACACAAACUGUAGAUGAUGAGGAAACAUUAUCAGCCAUUGAUUCUGAUGAUAGUGAAUUGGAGGACAAUAGUCAAAUAUCACUAGGACAUCCAAUGUAUGUUUAUAAACUGCUUGAAUUCAG